rnacentral:piRNA from 1 species
UAAGUAAACAAUAGGUAAUAAUAGGAC